AUACGAAAGGUGCAAGCGUUGUUCGGAUUUACUGGGCGUAAAGAGAGUGUAGGUUGUUUAUUAAGUCGGAUGUGAAAUCCCGGGGCUCAACCUCGGAACUGCAUUCGAUACUGAUAGGCUAGAGUUUGGGAGGGGUAAGCGGAAUUCCGUGUGUAGCAGUGAAAUGCGUAGAUAUACGGAGGAACACCUGAGGCGAAGGCGGCUUACUGGACCAAUACUGACACUGAGACUCGAAAGCGUGGGUAGCAAACAGGAUUAGAUACCCGAGUAGUCC
rnacentral:rRNA from 1 species